rnacentral:rRNA from 1 species
AGAACGAACGCUGGCGGCAGGCCUCAAACAUGCAAGUCUAGGGGGUGUAGCAAUACAUCACCGGCGGACGGGUGCGUAACACGUGGGAAUAUACCUUUUGGUUCGGAACAACGCAGGGAAACUUGCGCUAAUACCGAAUGUGCCCUUACGGGGAAAGAUUUAUCGCCAAAGGAUUAGCCCGCGUAGGAUUAGCUAGUUGGUGAGGUAAUGGCUCACCAAGGCUCCGAUCCUUAGCUGUUCUGAGAGGAAGAUCAGCCACACUGGGACUGAGACACGGCCCAGACUCCUACGGGAGGCAGCAGUUGGGAAUCUUGGACAAUGGGGGAAACCCUGAUCCAGCCAUGCCGCGUGAGUGAUGAAGGCCUUCGGGUUGUAAAACUCUUUCGACGGGGUACGAUAAUGACGGUACCCGUAGAAGAAGCUCCGGCUAACUUCGCGCCAGCAGCCGC